CAACGCCUGGACAACUCUACCGACAGAUUCAUCCAAGGCGGUAACCACGCCUGAAAACAAGGAAACAUACAUUGCAAUAAGACGCUGCGAGAAUAUAACAAGUAGUAAUCGAUGCACCGAGAAUAAGGCGACAAAUAUAAGAGUCACGGUCCAAGCUUGAGUUCAAGUUGGAGGUGUCAGAUCUAAAUGCAAAAGUACGAGGAGUGACAAGCUUGUCGAUUGGAAACCUAGACCAGGGCUGUAACCCGAAAACGAGGUCAUUGAGCUCAAAUUUUACCAAUACAGGGUGUACCGUAACAUCCCACGUUGGAUCCACUUCAGCAGAAGACGGGAGGGACAAAAACAACGAGAAAGGUUCGUACAAACAUACGUUGACCAAUCUUGAACAUAUUUGACCUUGCUUCAAAUUUACAACCAGUCUGUGAUUUUUUUAAAUGCCGCGAAAUUGUUUCGCUCGAUAACCACGAGAUUCCAUGCAGGCCGAGGGUGGCGAUUUCGAGCAACUUCUGUGGAGCUAAGCAGUUGCGUGUUCGUACGAACUUUCUCGCCAUUUUCGUACCUCCUGCGCAUUCCUGAAGUGGCUCACGCGUGUUAGAGUACACCUUGUCUAAUUAAACCAUAUGAUGAUCAGCAGCCACAUCUCACACGGUGUUGAUCAGGCUUCAAAAUCUACUUUAUAUAACAAACGUAAAAGUUUUCCAUGGCAAGCGUGCGAAUACUUUUACUAGCCACGCUGUAUACACAUAUGAUUAACAAAGUCUCU
rnacentral:lncRNA from 1 species